ACAAACACAUCAGGGCAGAUCCCCUUCCUCUUCCCCACGCACGAGCGGGGAUACCGCCGCCGCCGCCUUCCUCGCGGAGUCUGCGGCCGAAGGAUCGGUUGGGACGCACCGGGUCUGCGGUGCGAGCUCUCGGCUCGGGGCAGGAGGCGGCUCGAUGACGAGGAGCUGGGGCGCGGCGCUCCUCUCCUGGUGUGGCGCACGAGGGAAGGAGGAGGGGAUCGAUCCAAGACGAGAGCUGAGGCCGGCGGCGCCCUUCACACAAGCCUCACCGGCGGUUCCCUGUACACAAGCCUCACCGGCGAUGCAGCGGGAGAGCUCCGACCCGUCCAUAGGUGCGGGGAUGCAGAUCCGUGUCGCCAGCCUGUACUAGGCCGAGGUUGACGCGCCGGCGCAGGGGUCACCGUCCAUCUUCGCCAGGCCUCCAGAGUACUCCAGCAACAGCCACUGGACGGCAGGUAAGCAUGCAUUGUAUGACCUUAGCUAAUUGCGUACAUACAAGUUUGGAUGAAUUCCAAGAGAUGGAGCACUCUAUCCAAAUAGGAGAAGUGUUAGUGAGUACAAUUUCACAAUGGUUUUCAUGGGGAGCAAAAUAAUUACCUGCGGCAAAUUUAGGUUCUAGAAUUGACAUAUAUUCAGUUCCUUUUUUUUAUAAAGAGAGCUCCCUCUUCGAUUUUCUUUAGAGGAAAUCACCGUGUCUUACCUAUAUUCAGUUCCUGGAAGAACAAAGAAGUUGCAUGUCCUUUUAGUCUGAAAAUCACAUUGAUCCUUGGAGCAUGAUGGGGACAAAUCGCACAUAUGUCCUGUACUGCACACACAGGCAAAGGAUUUUUCUGAAUGCCAUUGUUGUCCGGUACACAGUGUUUAUCAGUGAGUAAUUUGCCCCUUUCGCAAUGUGAUGAUACUGGCAAUAAGGGAAGCAUCAUAUACCAUUGGUUUUGCUGAACUAGAAAUAACACAACUACAUAUUGAUUUUCUGCUUAAAUUUCACAAUAGAUAUUUUGCCGGAUGACCCACUGUAUGAGGAUGCCACAUCCUUUCUUGCUCACCCAACACACGGCAUUCCUGUAUGUCGUUGUGUGCUUCUCAGUACAGUAGAGGUACCACACGGGGUGGUGACUGGGAGGCUGGUACAUGCUAGCACGGCCAAACAGCUGGUUCACUGCGAUCAGGGUGCUAGAGGCUCUUGGGGUUGCAGCCCGCUCGCCUGCUGGAGGUACAAUGUUGAUUAUUUAGAGACCUCAUCUUCAUGAGACUAGCAAGGGAUGGACAUUCUGAAGAAGAAGAGAUGAGGUGAGUUUCUGAAGUUCACCGUCCAAUCCAAGUAUUAAAGGUGAGCAUUACUAUUCAAAGGGACAUAAUUAACCUGUUAAAUUAUUCUUAGAGCAAGGAACCAGUUAUUAUCUAACCGAAUAAUUGUAAACUAGCUUCUUUUUCUAAAAUGAGGUGUCGUCUUUAAAUAGAGGAGAUGGACCGGAGAGGGGGUUUGAGAAAUGCUAAUUAGGCUAGAGGCGUAUGAUUUUUUUUCUCCCGUUGCAAUGCACGAGCAUGUUUGCUAUAAUAAUAAAGCAUCCAGUGGAGGGGUUUAGAAAAAUAGAAACGGUUCUAUUUGAUAUGUAAUUUAGAAAUUAAUGGCUGGAGGAUCCUAAACUAACAUAUGGCAUUUUGUUUCAAUUUCUCUUUACCUGAUUGUGUUACUUAUGCACAAUCACCAUACUUGACAUAGGUCCCUGCACUUCCGUUGACGAGUAUUUUGUCAGCAUCUCGAUGCGGAGCGUUGUAGCGCCCUUGGCUCAAGGUGACCAUCUUCAGCGCAUCGUGGUGUCGCUGCCCACACGAUCUCUACAGACACCACAAAAGGCUACAGGACCGACGAGGCCGGUGGCCUGACCACCGAAUCAUGUUGUCGCGCGGGCGCCUUGAUCUAUAUGUGCCUCCUCCGUCUCUUAUUCCCUGGAACGUAAUUUGAUGACUCAUUGAUGUCACACUCGCUUAGGAUUAAACUGCACAGGUUAGAUUGACAUUUUGCCCUGUGUUUAAUUACUACAUGCACUGCACGCUGAUUCAUGUAUAUAUUGGCUCCCCUAUAUAUACCUCUAUUGGUGAAAAGUUUUGACUUUCGAGUUUUGUCAGACGUGAGUUGCAGCAAUUUUCAGUUACUUUUCUAUGCC